rfam:Myotis davidii contig178909, whole genome shotgun sequence.
GCCGGUGUGGCUCAGUGGCCAGAGCGCCGGCCUGCGGACUGAAGGGUCCUGGGUUCAAUUCCCAUCAAGGGCA